rnacentral:rRNA from 1 species
GCAACAUUUUAUGUAAAAAAGGACGUUAAGGGACGAAGGCUCAUAUUAAAUAAUGGGAUUAGAGACCCUAGUAUUGUGGGCAGACAAUGAUGAGUGUCAUAUGCAAGAAAUAUUUUGUGUAUAAAUGAAAGUGUAAGCACUCCACCUCAAGAGUAACGUGGCAACACGGGAACUGAAAUCAUUAGACCGUUUCUGAAACUCGUAGUGAAGUAUGUUGUUUAAUUUGAUAAUCCUCAAAUAACCUUGCCACAAUUUGAAUUGCUAAUAUUUUUAUUUUGAACAUUUAUUAGUUGUUUAUUAUUAUUAAUAGUUUUCGCUUUCUAUUAGUACUUUAUCGAUAGCUACUAAAUAUUUGGAGUAAUCAUUAGUAACAAGCGUUGCACGGCUGUCUUCAGUCAAUGUUGUGAAACUUUGGUUAGAUCCAUUAAAUUGACGUAAACCCUUGCUUUAUUUGUUAUAGAGCAGUUCGCCGCUAUAUUGGUAGUGAUAGAAGGGACUAAGACAAGUCAUCAUCCCUUUU